rnacentral:rRNA from 1 species
UACAGAGGUCUCAAGCGUUGUUCGGAUUCAUUGGGUGUAAAGGGUGCGUAGGCGGCGCGGUAAGUCGGGUGUGAAAUCUCGGAGCUUAACUCCGAAACUGCAUUCGAUACUGCCGUGCUUGAGGACUGGAGAGGAGACUGGAAUUUACGGUGUAGCGGUGAAAUGCGUAGAUAUCGUAAGGAAGACCAGUGGCGAAGGCGGGUCUCUGGACAGUUCCUGACGCUGAGGCACGAAGGCCAGGGGAGCAAACGGG